rfam:Bordetella sp. SCN 67-23 ABS43_C0138, whole genome shotgun sequence.
GUGCGUCUUCAGGGCGGGGUGGAAAUCCCCACCGGCGGUAGGGUGUCCUCGGACACCGAGCCCGCGAGCGCUUGCCGGCUACCCGGCAAGGUCAGCAGAUCCGGUCCCAUGCCGGAGCCGACGGUCAUAGUCCGGAUGAAAGAAGACGGGA